AAUGGAAUUGCUGGGCUAUUGUAAAUAUAUACAUAACUUUUUAAGAAACUGUCAAACUGUUUUUCAAAGUGGAUGUACCAUUUAACGUUUCCACCAGCCAU
rnacentral:pre_miRNA from 1 species